AGUGAACGCUGGCGGUAGGCCUAACACAUGCAAGUCGAACGGCAGCACAGUAAGAGCUUGCUCUUACGGGUGGCGAGUGGCGGACGGGUGAGGAAUACAUCGUAAUCUACUUUUUCGUGGGGGAUAACGUAGGGAAACUUACGCUAAUACCGCAUACGACCUACGGGUGAAAGCAGGGGAUCUUCGGACCUUGCGCGAUUGAAUGAGCCGAUGUCGGAUUGGCUAGUUGGCGGGGUAAAGGCCCACGAGGGCGACGAUCCGUAGCUGGUGUGUGAGGAUGGUAGGCCACAUUAGAACUUAGACACGGUCCAGGCUCCUACGGGAGGCAGCAGUGUGGAAUAUUAGACAAUGGGCGCAAGCCUGAUCCAGCCAUCGCGCGUGGGUGAAGAAGGCGUUCGGGUUGUAAAGCCCUUUUGUUGGGAGAGAAAAGCAGCAGGUUAAUACCCCGCUGUUCUGACGGUACCCAAAGAAUAAGCACCGGCUAACUUCGUG
rnacentral:rRNA from 1 species